UGGGGAAUCUUGCACAAUGGGCGAAAGCCUGAUGCAGCAACGCCGCGUGCGGGAAGAAGGCCCUCGGGUUGUAAACCGCUUUCAGAAGGAACGAAACUGACGGUACUUUCAGAAGAAGGUGCGGCCAACUACGUGCCAGCAGCCGCGGUGACACGUAGGCACCAAGCGUUGUCCGGAUUUAUUGGGCGUAAAGAGCUCGUAGGCGGUUCAGUAAGUCGGGUGUGAAAACUUUGGGCUUAACCCAAAGCGUGCAUCCGAUACUGCUGUGACUUGAGUACGGUAGGGGAGCGGGGAAUUCCUAGUGUAGCGGUGAAAUGCGCAGAUAUUAGGAGGAACACCGGUGGCGAAGGCGCUGCUCUGGGCCGAAACUGACGCUGAGGAGCGAAAGCAUGGGUAGCAAACAGGAUUAGAUACCCAUGUAGUCCCUGAGCGGGCUGGCAAGGCGCAU
rnacentral:rRNA from 1 species